rnacentral:misc_RNA from 1 species
AAAUUUAAUACCUAGAAACAGACUAAUACAUACUGUAAUGUAUCUUUUGUUGUGCUUGAACUAGCAGUCGCCUUAGAUUUGCCUAUAAUAGAAAUACACUCUCUACAUUCCCAAACAGGAUUAGCCCAUUUAAGCUGUCCACAAGCCAUGUGAGUUCCUUGUGAACCACAAGUUCGACAAAGAGCUAAUUCCCAUUUCCUGCCAAAUUACAAUUACAACAUAUAAAAAAUGAGAAAUUAAAAUCUUUAGU